rnacentral:rRNA from 1 species
UACGGGGGGGGGGCAAGCGUUGUCCGGAUUUAUUGGGCGUAAAGCGCUCGCAGGUGGUUCGUCGCGUCGUGCGUGAAAGACCCCGGCUCAACUGGGGGGGUGUCGUGCGAUACGGGCGGACUGGAGGCCAGUAGGGGGAUGCGGAAUUCCGGGUGUAGUGGUGGAAUGCGUAGAGAUCCGGAGGAACACCAGCGGCGAAGGCGGCAUCCUGGACUGGUCCUGACACUCAUGAGCGAAAAGCGUGGGGAGCGAUCCGG